rnacentral:rRNA from 1 species
GAUGAACGCUGGCGGUAUGCUUAACACAUGCAAGUCGUACGAAAGCUUCGGCUUUAGUGGCGGACGGGUGAGUAACGCGUGAGAAUCUGCCUUUGGGAGGGGAAUAACAAUUAGAAAUGACUGCUAAUGCCCCAUAUGCCGUAAGGUGAAAUAGUUUUCUGCCCGAAGAAGAGCUCGCGUCUGAUUAGCUAGUUGGUAAGGUAACGGCUUACCAAGGCGACGAUCAGGAGUUGGUCUGAGAGGAUGGCCAGCCAAACUGGGACUGAGACACGGCCCAGACUCCUACGGGAGGCAGCAGUGGGGAAUUUUCCGCAAUGGGCGAAAGCCUGACGGAGCAAUACCGCGUGAGGGAAGACAGCCCGUGGGUUGUAAACCUCUUUUCUCAGGAAAGAAGCUCUGACGGUACCUGAGGAAUAAGCAUCGGCUAACUCCGUGCCAGCAGCCGCCGUAACAC